GCCCAGAUAGCUCAGUCGGUAGAGCAACGCACUCGUAAUGCGUAGGUCGUGGGUUCGAUUCCCACUCUGGGCUCCA
rnacentral:tRNA from 2 species